rnacentral:rRNA from 1 species
AUGGAGAUCACAAGUAGAGUCAUCAUGUUCCUCUUGCUGCCAAUCAACCUUGCUGUCGCCCAAAAUACUUCUAGAGAAGACGCAAAGGAACUCCAUGUUGGGGUUAUCCUUGACUUGGGGUCCAUUGUUGGCAAAAUGGCACGGACCAGCAUUUCACUAGCUAUGGAGGACUUCUAUGCUGUUCAUCAGAACUAUAGCACCAAGCUAGUCCUACACACCAGAGAUUCCAUGAGAGAUGAUGUCCGAGCUGCAUCUCAAGUUAUUAGCCUGUUGGAAAAUUACAAUGUGGAAGCCAUCAUUGGCCCUCAGAGAUCUUCGCAAGCCAUAUUUAUCUCGAAACUGGGAAAUAAAGGUCAUGUCCCGGUCAUAUCCUUCACGGCAACAAACCCAGCUCUAGCGUCUGGAAGUCUUCCAUAUUUUGUGCGUGCAACACUGAGUGACUCAGCACAGGUUAAUUGCAUUGCCUCCAUAGUUAAAGCCUAUGGGUGGAGAAAGGUGGUGACUGUAUAUGAAGACACCGACUAUGGGAGAGGCAUUAUACGAUACCUAGUUGAUGUCCUACAAGAAGUUGAUGCUCGUGUUCCCUACCAAAGCAUGAUCCCUCUGACAGCAACUAAUGAACAGAUUACCCUAGAACUCUAUAAGUUGAUGGCAAUGCAAACAACGGUCUUUGUUGUGCAUAUGUCAUUUACCUUAGCCUCGCUUGUCUUCAUCAAGGCAAAAGAAGUAGGGAUGAUGAACAAAGGAUAUGCAUGGAUCCUGACAGAUGGAGUAACCAAUCUCAUAGAAUCACUAAAUCCUUCUGUCCUAGAAUCACUGAAUGGUGCCAUAGGUGUUCAAGUUUAUGUUCCCAAAUCAAAGGAUCUCGAUGACUUCACCAUGAGAUGGAAUAUGAGGUUCCAAAUUGACAACCCAACUAAUAUACCAUCAAAAUUAAGCAUCUUUGGACUGUGGAGCUAUGAUACAAUCUGGGCAGUAGCACAGGCUGCAGAAAAAGUUGGACUUACAAAUGCCACAUUUAGAAAACCAGGUGUCACAAGAAACUCAACAAGCUUGGAAACCUUGGAAACGUCUAGUAAUGGUCCAGAACUAUUACAAGCAAUCCUGCAGAACAGAUUUAAAGGCCUUGGUGGCAAUUUUGACCUUUCAGAUAGGCAGCUGCAAAUUUCAACAUUUCGAAUAAUAAACGUGGUAGGAAAAGGAUGGAGGGAAAUUGGAUUCUGGACUGCACAAAAUGGAAUCUCACAACAAUUAAAUAAAACCACACCUGCAACAACAUUUCCGGGUUCAGCGUGGGAUCUUCAUCCUGUGAUCUGGCCAGGAGAGUCCAUAGAGGUACCCCGGGGUUAUGAAAUUCCUGUAAGCGGGAAGAAACUUCGAGUUGGUGUGUGCACAAGUGGAUAUCCGGAAUUUAUGAAGGUCGGAAAGGAUCAUAUAACAGGUGCAACUAAAGCAAGUGGUUUCUCAGUUGACGUAUUUGAAGAGACGGUUAAGAGACUUCCUUAUGCACUCCCUUACGAAUAUGUAAUAUUUAGUACUACGGAUGAUUCAAGUAGCGAAGAUUACAAUGAUUUUGUCUACCAAGUAUAUCUUAAGAUAUUUGAUAUAGUAAUUGGAGAUAUAACAAUAAGGUAUAAUCGAACUUUCUAUGUCGACUUCACUCUGCCAUACACAGAAACAGGAAUAGCAAUGGUUGUUCCAGUAAGGGAUAGCAUAAACAAGAACACAUGGAUUUUCUUGAAGCCACUAGCACCUGGCAUGUGGUUUGGAAGCGCUGUAUUCUUUAUCUACACAGGUGUGGUCGUAUUAAUAUUGGAAUUUCUAGGCAACAACGAGAAUAUUCGUGGGACAAUUCCCAGACAGCUGGGGAUUAUGAUCUUUUUCUCCAUAUUUGAAGGGAAAGAGCUUGUGCAACGCUUUCUAUCCCGGAUAGUUUUGAUCGUUUGGCUAGUUUUUCUCAUGGUACUUACAUCAAGUUACACUGCGAGCUUGACAUCAAUGCUAACUGUGCAGCAGCUUCAGCCAACAGUAACAGAUGUGCAUGAACUCCUAAAAAGUGGAGAAUGCGUAGGACAUCACCGUGGCUCUUACGUCAAGGGACUUUUAGAAGAACUCGGUUUUGACAGGUCAAAGAUCAAGUCGUAUGAUUCCCCUGAUGAUUUUCACAAAGCACUUUCCCUAGGAAGCAACAAUGGUGGUAUCGCUGCUCUUGUCCAUGAGGUUCCAUACAUUAAACUAUUUCUGGCAAACCACUGCAAAGGGUACACAAUGGUGGGACCAAUCUAUGAGGCUGCAGGUUUUGGAUAUGCAUUAGCAAAGGGAAAUCCCCUACUUGGCGACAUCUCAAAGGCAAUUCUCAACGUAACAGGGGGUGAUACUAUGAUUCAACUUGAGAAAAAGUGGAUUGGAGAUCAAAACAAUUGCCAGAAUGCAGGCCCUCUCACUGGUUCAAGCACACUCACCUUUGCAAAUUUCAGGGGAUUAUUCAUCCUUACUGGAGUUGCUUCAACUUCUUCCCUUUUGAUAGCAUUUAUAAUCCAUUUCUACAAAAAGAGGCACAACUUAACAAAGAUGCCAGAUCAUAAGGAUCAACCAGAAGAAAGUGGAACUAACGAUAAAAACAGUGAGCCCCAAGAAGGAAGUCAAGGAGGGACAGUUGAACAAAAUGAACAACGAGCAGGCAGAGAGGAAAAUGGCCAACUAGAAGAGCAAGCCAGUUUAGAACUGGUAUCUGACACAAAUUCACAGACAAGCAUCGGUAUGCCCAAGCAGCCAAACAAUGGGUCAAUUGUCAUCUUCAGGGGUGAAAGAACUACUGGCCUGCAAGUGGAACUUGUCUGA